UGCUGUUGUCCUUCAGUUCCCAUCUGCCCCAACCAGCAUAGCCAAUGGCCAGGGAUGGCGAGAGCUUUGAUUGAACAGCAGUGCUUUGGGUUCCCCAUCCAUUGUAUAGAAUGUUGCCUGCUUCAGAGAGAACCUCCUGCUUACUAACUGAAACCCAUGAGCAUUCCAGGACUGAAAUUAACAUGAAAGGUAGCCGUUUGGCAAUUCUGGAAAAGAGCAUUCAUAAUAAGAAUAUUGGACUGUUGGUUAAUUAUGGCAUUCCUAAUAUGUCCUUGAGUGCCCUUCUGUCAUAUGUCCUCCAUAUAUCCUUCUGUCAUAUGUUUUCCAUAUGUCUUGUCACUAAUUAGUUUUCCAUCAUAUGGCUUCCAUCACAUUAAUUAGACUUCCUGGAGAAUGUGACAGUAUUGCAAGCGAACAUGGACCUUUUGCAGUGGGCACAGGAACAGCUAUUCUGUACCUUUCAGCCCUUGAGCGAUGGAGCAAAAGGAGAAAGGAACAGGUGGAAAGGGGAUGUUUUUAAAAAGACAAGGUGUGCUAAGCCAAAAAGGGUUUUGCAUCCAAGACCUCAGGGGCAGGAGGUUUCCCAGCAUCGCCCACUGACACUGGCUCCACCUGCUUUGUUGGAGAACUACUUAUCUUAAAGGGCAAACACUGUAGCAUGAAGAGCAGGCACUUCUUUGAUCCAUGGUCUCUCACUUGGUGUGCUCCCAGCCCUGAAGGAUGGGUGAAGCUCUUGAUUCCUCAGAUGCAAGGGAAAGAGUCCAUGAGGG